GUGGAGGGAACUUUCCCAGUCCCCGAGGCGGAUCCGGUGUUGCAUCCUUGGAGCGAGCUGAGAGCUCGAGAGACGGGGAUUUAGCUAUGUUGCCCAAGCUGGUCUGGAACUCCGGAGCUCAAGCAGUCCGCCCGCCUUGGCCCCCCAAAGCGCUGGAAUUACAGGCGUAAUGCACUGUGCCUGGCCUUUAAAAAAAAAUUGAGGUUAUUUUGGGGACAGUAGAGCGUCCAGACACAUCCUAAUUUGCAUAGCUGCGCAGUUUUAAAAAAUGCAAUGCAUUUUUACCUGUUAGGAACCUGCUAAGGCCAUCAAACCUAUUGAUCGGAAGUCAGUCCAUCAGAUUUGCUCUGGGCCGGUGGUACCGAGUCUAAGCACUGCGGUGAAGGAGUUAGUAGAAAACAGUCUGGAUGCUGGUGCCACUAAUAUUGAUCUAAAGCUUAAGGACUAUGGAGUGGAUCUCAUUGAAGUUUCAGGCAAUGGAUGUGGGGUAGAAGAAGAAAACUUCGAAGGCUUAACUCUGAAACAUCACACAUCUAAGAUUCAAGAGUUUGCCGACCUACCUCAGGUUGAAACUUUUGGCUUUCGGGGGGAAGCUCUGAGCUCACUUUGUGCACUGAGGACUCCUAGAAGUACCCCACCCCACCCCUGCUCCUUGGAGGACAACGUGAUCACUGUAUUCAGCUCUGUCAAGAAUGGUCCAGGUUCUUCUAGAUGAUCUGCACAAAUGGCUCCUCUCCUCCUUCCUGAUGUCUGCCAUUAGCACUGGAAUAAAGUUCCUGCUGAAAAUCCACAUCUCCCCUGGGUCCGGUGUUCUGGAAGUGAGAGAGACAAUGUCACACCUCAAGGAGACAGCUCUCUAGACAGGAAGGUUAUUCACGUCCCAUGUCAAGUCUAGCUAGAGUUCAGAGCAAUUGAGAAGUGCGAUUUUAUCUCCUGCCUUUCAUUCUAUACCCUGCUUCUGAACCAUCGUGUUCAACUGUGAAACUCACGCUUUGGUGACCCUGACUCCAAAACUUAAUACACCCAAGGUCAGCCCCAGUGAUCUGCUUCAUAGCGAGGACUUUGGGUGGGUCUUCCCAGGGAGUAGGGCACCCUCAGAGAAUGUGGCUUUGGACUUCAUCACAGCUAGGGUCUUUUGUGUCACUUCAGAUCUAAACUUGUAACUGUGCUAGAUCUGUUUCUAAUGUGACAACAUCACAAACCACGA
rnacentral:lncRNA from 1 species